AAGGUCUUGCUCAAGAUUCUGAGUUUAGGGUUUUACCAACUCGCCCGAGGUCACCUAGCAUAUAAGUGACAGAUCUGGCCUGUCUCCAAAGUGGCCAAGAAGACCUCCCAUCAAUUCUCAGAUGACAGCGCUCCAGAUGGGUGAGAAGUAGCUGUGCUGACAUCUAAUCCAAUCCCUUCUCCUCUAUGGAGAGGCUGAGGUCUGGGCUUGUUGAACACAAGCUGACGUGUGACUGGGGCCAAGGCUGAGGACCGUCCGUCUCCACUGAUUUAUGAUUCUGAAUGUCAUCACUCUCAAAGAAUAUCCACGUUCCUCAGGCUUUCGCCUCCCUGUGGGUCCUCCCCUCUCUCGGCAGUGUCAUGACUCCUCAUCGGCCACAGGGGAAAGCGGUUCUAGUUUUCUCCUAGCUCCAAACAUGAACAAAACAAAAUCGUUUCUCUUGCCUGGGUUCCCUUCCCUUCUCUGCUUGGUUAUGUCUGAGAGGCUUUGGAAUUUUCAGAAGAAACAUUUGGCAAGCCCAGGGCAGACUUUAGCGAAACAGACACGGAGUAGUCAGAGCCUAUAAGAUCUCGCGAGAUGGAACAAAGCUUGUGAGACUAGAGGGAAAGGAAAACAACAGAGGCUGUGAUCAAAGCUGCUCCCGCCAGUCCAUCCACUCCAGGCUCUGAAUCUUCUUACCCGGUCAUCCAUGCAGCCGGCAAAUCUAUGAGCACGCAGCCUCCGUUUCCAUGGACACCACCGCCCGCCAGGGACGCAGAGGGUAUUGGAUAUAGUUCCCUGUGCUCUCCAAUAAGAUCUCAUUGGUGGAGCGCUGCAGCCAUGCAGGCGGCGGAUGCAGCACGCCCUGGACACAUCACGCAGAGCAGCACGGCGGGAGGCCCCGAGGGCCCGGGCUGCAGAGGUGGCCCAGGCGGCCCCAGCAGCCCCCGCGGUGAUGGCUGCGUUGCUGCUGAUGCAGCCGAGGGAGUUCCGCCUGUGGCGCCAGGAUGGCACCCUUCGGCAGCGGGCGGAGAGUCCGCAUCCACAGCCAAAAGGCCAGGGAACCGACCACUCGUAUUCACCCUAAGCGUACCUUUUCCGUCUUCCUUGGAGGCAGAGAUCGCCCGUGGCUCCCUGGCCCCAGAUGCUGAACCCCACCGAGGGGCGGCUGGGAAGAAGCUCUCAGUGAGCGCCAGCGUCCUGGCCGUCCACUGGAGAGCUGAAGAUUCCCGCCUCCUCCGAAUUUCCAUCCUAAACUUCCUUGACCAGCUUUCCCUGGCGAUUCGCACCAUGCAGCGCUUUGGGCCCCCUGUUAUCCGCUAAGCCAGGACUGGGGAGACAGGCCAGGGUCUGACCUUGUAUCUCUUCCUGGACAGUGCAGCCCGCAAGGGGCAUUGAUUCCUGUAGGAGUUGCCAGUUUAUUAUGGGGGCCUAAUCUUUUGCCUGUAUUGGCCCUUGGGCGCUCAGGAUCCACUUGCUUUGUUUGAUGCUUAAAUAUUUCUUAACCACAGAAAAUAAAACUGAGCUUCCAUGCUUAAAAAAAAAAAAAAAAGAGAGAGA